rnacentral:rRNA from 1 species
UACGAAGGGGGCUAGCGUUGCUCGGAAUCACUGGGCGUAAAGCGCACGUAGGCGGAUUGCUAAGUCAGGGGUGAAAUCCUGGAGCUCAACUCCAGAACUGCCUUUGAUACUGGCGACCUUGAGUCCGGGAGAGGUGAGUGGAACUGCGAGUGUAGAGGUGAAAUUCGUAGAUAUUCGCAAGAACACCAGUGGCGAAGGCGGCUCACUGGCCCGGUACGUGACGCUGAGGUGCGAAAGCGUGGGGAGCAAACAGG